rnacentral:pre_miRNA from 1 species
GAUGUUGGUAUGGUUCAAUCAAAUAAAAUCUCUCAAAAUUUGGGUCCUUUAAUUUGAUUGAGCCGUGCCAAUAUC